CACACAGGCUGGUCCUUCAGCAGUGGUGGCGGCAGCCACUCCAUCAGCUCCAGGAGCCUCGGGAUGGAGGGCAGAGGGGAUCAGAGCAGUACUAAGGGGUUUUUCGGGGCCUCACAUCUCCGGUUAAGAGGGAAGAGACUCUCUGAGAAGUCCACACCUGAGCCGAGCUGGCUGGGGGAUGCAGCUCCUCCCUGUGCAGGGGAUGCCUUGAGCCCUGCUCUGCUCUGCGCUCUGUGGGAGCUGCACUCGUCCUUCCCCACUGGGCUGAGAAUUGCACGUGGAGCUCAGCUUUUGUCUAAAGUCACGGGCUGCAAGAUGUGACAGCUUUUCCUGGCCAAGAUCACGGACAAGAUAAUGUGGAGAUCACUGAGGCCCUUGCAACACCCAAGUCUGUUCAGAGUGAAGACCACAGGAGCAGGUGGUCCAAAGGGGUGAAAGACUUUGAAGCCACACUAAGAAAAAGAAACUGCCUGACGAUGAUCUACAGGACAGGCAAAAUCCAGUGAAAACUGUCUCGGUAAUGAAAUAGCAAAUACUUGUUGAGGACAGGGACAACUGUAGAAAAGUGGAUGUGUUGUAGGACAUUUAUUCCAACUUAUUGUCUCAGUGGAGUGGGCUCCACGCCAUGCAGCUUCAGACCCCUAAUCCCAAACUGGUCAUCCAGACACAUCUGGAAAUGUUAAAUAUACUGGGGAGCAAGGAAGGAUUCCUGGAUUCUGUAUUCAUUUUAGGCUCAGUAUUUACGUAAGAUACUUUUCUUAUCUUCCUGAACUAUUUAUAGUUUUGUUUGUAUGUUUGGGACACAGACUAUCCUACUAUGCUUCAAUAAAUCUGAAAUAUCUUUGCUGACAAAAAGAAAUGUCGUCUGCUGUUCAUGGAAAGAGGGAAAUCUUUGUAUUGAGCUACUUGUGCAGUUAAUAUUUUAGCAAAUGCUCUCUGGGCAGAUGAUGACUCAUAUAAAUUCUUAAUUUUUGUUUCUUUUAUGCAAAAAAAAGAAGCUAAAAAUUAAAUGUUUGAGUUCAAGGCCAUCCGUACUAUGAAAACUAG
rnacentral:lncRNA from 1 species